rnacentral:misc_RNA from 1 species
UCUCCGUUGGUGAACCAGCGGAGGGAUCAUUACCGAGUUCACAACACCCAAACCCUAUGUGAACGUUACUAAACUGUUGCCCCGGCGGGAACUCUGCCCCGGGUGCGUCGCAGCCCCGGACCAAGGCGCCCGCCUUGGUACCAAUCAAAACUCUUUGUGUAGACCCCCUCGCGAGUUUUUUUACAACCUGUGUCAUCUCGGCGCCCCUCGUGGUCGACUCGAAAAUGAGUCAAAACUUUCAACAACGGAUCUCUUGGUUCUG